rnacentral:tRNA from 3 species
GCACCCUUAGCUCAGUGGUAGAGCGCUACAAUGACACUGUAGAGGCCGCAGGUCCAAUCCCUGCAGGGUGCA